rnacentral:rRNA from 1 species
UUUUAAUUCAACAUCGAGGUAGCAAACUUAAUUUCUAAUAAGAACUCUUAAAUUAAAUUACUCUGUUAUCCCUAGAGUAACUUUCUUAACAUUUAAUAUAAUCUAAUUUUAUAAAAAUUUAUUUCUUCAAAUAUUGCCCCAAUAAAAAAUAUAUUUAUAAUAAAUAUUUCCAAUAUAUAAAAAUUUAUUAUAAGCUUCUAGGGUCUUCUCGUCCCAAGACUUAACAAAAGCAUUUUUACUUUUAAUUAAAUUUCAAAUUUAUUAAAUAAAACUUUCUCCUCAGAAUUUAUCUUUCAUCCCAGUCUUCAAUUAAAAAA